UCCAAGUAAAGUUCUGUGAUACACUCUGACUCUUAAUUGUUUGCAGUCAGUGCAUUACAGAACUUUGUUUUGGG
rnacentral:pre_miRNA from 1 species